rnacentral:tRNA from 1 species
GCCUGAGUGGCUCGGUCGGUUGAGCGUCUGACUUCAGCUCAGGUCAUGAACGCACAGUUUGUGGGUUCAAGCCCCACGUCAGGCU